rnacentral:lncRNA from 1 species
UAUUAAGCAGGUAGGAAAUGUCAGAGCUAGUGCUAAAAAUAGUGGUAUUAAAAGUAGUGGUACUAAAGGUAGUGGUACAAAAAAUAGUGGUAAUAUAGGUAGUGGUAAUAUAGGUAGUGGUAACAUAAGUAGUGGUAACAUAAGUAGUAGUAACAUAAGUAGUGGUAACAGAGAUAGUGGCAAUAGUGACAAUAGUAGUAACUAUCCCUUGCAAAAAGAAAAUGUGAACAAUCCUAACAACUGUAUAAAAAAAAUUGCACACUCUGAAAAAAACGAAUUUUCAAAUACAUGUGGACUUAUUAAAGGUAAAGAAAAAAAUGAAAAUAUUUUACCUAUACAUGCAAGUAAUGAUUAUAUUAAAAAUGGGUUGUUAACAUUUAGCUCUACACAUAUGGAUGAUAUUUCUACUGAGAAUAGUACUGCUAAUGUUGGUUCUGGUGCAGUACAUAUGGAUAAAAAAGAAAAAAAAAUUAACAAAAUAAAUAAUUUAUUUUUGAAUAAUAAUAAUUUUAAUGAAAAUAAUUUGCAAUAUUCAAAUAAUUAUGUAGAUAUAAAAAAAAAUAUGAAUAGUAAUGGUUGUGGAACGAAUAAUGGCUAUGUGGUUGUACCUAUGAUAAAUAAUAAUGGGUUGUUAAAAAGUAGUGAGAAUAUUGAUGAAGGUAAUAUAUAUGAUAAUUUGAAAGAUUCUGUUUGUGAUAGUAAUGAGAAAAACGGUUAUAAUGAGAAUCAGCAGAAAAGUGUAUUAUCAAGUGAUAUGUGUAUUGGCAUACAAAAUAAGACUAUUAAUAAUAAUAAUAAUAAUAAUAAGACUAAUAAUAAUAAUAAUAAUAAGACUAAUAAUAAUAAGACUAAUAAUAAUAAUAAUAAGACUAAUAAUAAUAAUAAUGGCAUGUAUUAUGUUGAGAAUACAACAUGUAAUAGUAGUGAUAGCACUUAUCUGUACAAUAAUAAAAAUAAUAAUAAAAUGUGUAACAAACCAUUAAAUAAUAAUAACACAAUAAAUGAAAAAAGUUUUUUUAAUAAUUAUGGCAUUAUAAAAUUAAACAAUAGUAAUGUUGAGUAUAUAAAUUCGAAUAUAAAAACUGAUGGAAAAGAAAAAGAAAUUAAUAAAAAUUUGAAUAAAACAAAUAUAAAUUACCAAAUAAAUGAUACAGUUAGUAACAAUACGAUAAAUAUUAAUAAUCCGUUUGAAAAAAGAAUAAUUGAGGAGAAUGAUAAAACUGAAGGGGUAAAGACAAUUACAAACAAUAAAGAGAACAAAACAAAACAAGAACAGAUAAAUUAUAUUUUAACAGAAAUAGAAGAAAAAGAAAAGAUUGGACAGGUUGAUGAUUGUAUUAAUAUAAAUAAGGAUAUGUUUAUUAAAAGUAAUGUUAAUGUAUAUGCACAAGUAAGUAAUGGCGAUAUAGCAAAGAGUCAGAACGGAAUGGAAAUAAACAAUAGUAGUGGUGGUAGUGGUAAAAACAGUGAUGACAAUAUUAAUAACAACAACAGUGGAAAUGACCUUGGAAAUAACAGUGGAAAUGACCUUGGAAAUAACAGUGGAAAUAACAGUGAAAAUAACAGUGGAAAUAACAAUAAUAAUUAUGAACAAGUCAUAAAAAAAACAAUUUUUAAUAACGAAUUAGAUUAUGUUAAAGACGAAACUGUGAGCAGUGAUAUGUUUCAAAGCAAUGAUUCAUUUGUUGUACAAAAUAAAAAUGAUAAGAACAAAAUUGGUUGUAGUGGUAGUGGUUGUAGUGGUAGCAGUGGUAGUGGUUGUAGUGGUAGCAGUGGUAUUGGUUGUAGUGGUAGCAGUGGUAGUGGUUGUAGUGGUAGCAGUGGUAGCAGUGGUAGUGGUAAUAAUGUAUGCUAUAUUGCCACAAAUAAAAAUGAAAGUUGUAAUAAUACGUAUACAGAGGAAAAGGAAAAAUGUGAUGUGAAGCGGAUUGACAUCGUACAUGUUGGAAAAACACAAAUCGAAGUAACACAAACAAGAAAUAAAAAAGGUAAUCCAAAAGAAAAAACACAUUACAAUAUACAUUAUAUGAAUAAUACAUGUAGUAAUAAUACCAUUUUUAAUACUAAUUCCAUUUCAAUGAAUAAUAAAAACGAUGAAGGUUUGACGAUGUAUGCAGGUGCUGGUAUAAGUGGUAAUACUUGUGAUGGUAUAUGUAAUGGUCAGAUAUGCAAUGAUAAUAUAAUAGCAUAUCCAAAUGAACAAUUACAUACUAAACAAUUUAGUCUUGACGAUUUUUCAAAUUUUUACAAUAAUAAAAAUAAAACAAGAUGUAUAAUACCAUGUAAUAAACAGUAUUUACACGAUAGUAGUAUCAAUAAUGUCAUAUUUUGUAAAAAAAAAAGUGAUGGUUUAACAAUAAAUACAAAUAUUGCUUAUAAUAAAAUGGACAUAUUUAAUAAAAAUAAAAAGGAUUGUAAUAUAAUACAUAACAACAGUAAUAACAAUAAUAACAAUAAUAACAAUAAUAACAGUAAUAACAAUAAUAACAAUAAUAUUAAUAACAACAGUAAUAACAAUAAUAUUAAUAAUAACAAUUAUAUUAAUAAUAAAGGGAUACAUAUAAAUAAUUAUACUAAAUUAGUUAAUGCAAAAGAUUGUUCGAAUGGUAAUAAAUGUAGCAGUAAUAAUAAUAGUAGUAAUAGUAAUUAUGUUUUUAAUAAAUGUACCUGUAAUAACUACAUCCAUAAUAACAAUCAGUUAAUAAAUAAAAAUGAAGAAUUAACAUGCACAAAUACAAGUUACAAUAAUUUGGUCAAAGUAUUUUCAACUAAUACAAAAAUAAAUAAUAAAAAUGCAUUAAAUUUAUUACAAGGUCAAGUAACUAAAAAUAUAGAGUGCAUAAAACCAACUACAAAAAAUAUAACAGAAAUGAAAAUAAAUAAUAUAAGUAAUGGACAAAUAGAUAUGCAUACAAAUACGAUUAUAAAAUCAAAAGAAAAUAUGAACAUAUAUGGGAAUAAUCAUACAAAUAUAAAUAAUAAAAUUAACAAUAAAAAUAAUUACUUUAAUAAUAGUAGCUUUCUUACUAAACUAAUAAAUGAAAAUAAUAAUAAAAAACAAAAUAUAAAAAAUGACUAUAUAAAUGAAAGUUUUUGUUUUAUUCCUAAUAAUAACGAAUAUGAGCAAGUAGUUAAAUCGUUAAUACCUUCACAGAUUUGUAAAAGUGUCACUACAACUAACAAUGUAUUAAAUGUUUUUGAUAAUAAAAGUGAUAGACAUCCAUGCAGUGAUAAUAAUAUGUUAAACAAUUUAACAAAUAAAUUAUAUGAUGAAUAUAUAAAUGAAUUUAAUUAUUUUAAAAAUAAAAAAGAACAAACAGAGGGAACAGAGCAAAAAGAAGAAAGAGGGCAAACAAAACAAACAGAACAAACAGAACAAAAAGAACAAACAGAACAAAAAGAACAAACAGAACAAAAAGAGAAAACAGAAGAAAAAGAGAAAACAGAAAACAUGUAUUUAUAUGGAAAUUCUAAGUGUUUGUUAUUAAAAAAUAAAAAUGUAUAUAGUAAGGGUGAUAGCUAUUUUAAUAAUAUUAAUAAAAGUGAAAAUAAUAAUGGUGGUUUUACUAUUGCUGUUAAUAGUGAUACAAAUAGUAAUGAUGGUAAUAUUAUCGAACGUAAUAAAAUAAAUGGUAAUAAUUUUGUAAAUGAUAAAAAUAAAUACGAUGUUAAUAAAAUUGUAAAUGCAAUAAAAUUACGAAACUUAGAAUUUAUGCAAAUAAAUGGUAAUACAAAAAAUGGGACAUAUAUAAGAACAGAAGAACCGUACGAAAAAAAAAAUAAAAACGAAAGUUGCCUAAAUAACGUAUAUAAUAAAAUUGAAAGCGGAAAUAAUAGUUACAAUAAUAAUAGUAGUAAUAGUAAUAGUAAUAUUAGUCGGCAAAAGUUUAUGUAUGUUUUACCUAGCGAUAAAAACAAUAUUGAUGAUAAUUGUAUAUCGAAAGAAUACGACAUUUAUAGAAACAGUAAUAUUAAUUAUUAUUCAUGUAAUAACAAUAAUAAUGUAAGCCAUGUUAUUAAUUCAAACUUUAAUCUGUCGGACUCUGGUGUUUUUACCAAUAACGUCGGUAAUAGUAGUGGCAAUAACGUCGGUAAUAGUAGUGGCAAUAACAUCGGUAAUAGUAUUGGCAAUAAUGUGACUAGCUAUAACAGUAGCAAUAUAAUGGCUAAUAAAAACAAACCUAAUGUUAUAAACAGUUCAAAACAACAUUCUUUUUUUAAUAAUAUUAAUAAUGCGUUAAUUUAUAAUGAUGUAAAGGAUGGUGAACCUGAUCAAUCUGUUGAUAAUUUUGUUAACGAGUCUAAUGUUAAUGAGCUUAAUAGUAAUAUUAUGUUAUAUGAUAAAAAAAAUUAUACUCUUAAUAAGGAAAAAGAAAAAUUAUUUUUUUUUAAUAAUAAAGAUAAUAUAAAUAAUAAAAAGAAUUUAAUAAAUAAUUUGCUCGUAAAUAAUGUUUAUAAAAUUGAUGCAAAUGUAAAUAAGACUUAUACUAGUGAUGCAUAUGCUACUGAUACGUAUGCUACUGAUACGUAUGCUACUGAUACGUAUGCUACUGAUACGUAUGCUACUGAUACAUAUGUUACUGAUACAUGUGAGAAUGACACAUAUAGUAACGAUGUAUAUGUCAACGAUGCAUAUAUAACCAAUGCUUAUACAAAGGGUCUUUAUACAAAUGGUGUUUUUAAUCAUGAUGGAAGCACAGAUACACAUACAGACACACAUACAUAUGUAUACACAGACACAUACCCUGAUACAUACACUGAUUCUUGUACCGAUACAUAUAUUGAUUCAUACAUUGAUGGGUACACCAAUGCAUCCUCUAAUACAUAUCCUAAAAGAAAUGUAAAAAUACAAAACAACAAUAAUAAUAAUAACAUAAAUAAUAAUAAUAACAUAAAUAAUAAUAAUAACAUAAAUAAAAGUGAGCUAAAAUUUUAUGAUUAUAUAAAAGAUAGAUUUAAUUUUUUUGAUUCAUUUGAAGACAAUCAUACCACACUCACAUCUUCAAAUUCGCCUUUUUAUAAUUAUAAUUUAUUAAAAAAAUGUGGAAAAAAAUAA